UUGCCCAAUUUUUCCCCCCCUUUCCCCACGUGUUCCAUAAUGGUGCCUCUGUCCCUUUAACGCUGGCCCCGCCCCUCGCUGUGGCCCCGCCUACCGCCCGCAGAGCGCACGCGCCCGGAGCUCCUGGCGGAAGAGGCGCAGCGGCGCUGCCUCCGCGAGCUUCAAGCCUGGCAGGAACCGGAAGUCGCUCGCCAGCUGGAGGAUUUCCGGGCGAAGCGUUUGAUGGGCAUGACGCCCGGCGAAGCGGAGCUGGCGGAACUGGACGCGCUGCCGACACGUGACCCCGCCGCGAGCGCCAAUUGGCGGAGGCGCUGCUGGGGCCGCCUGGAGGAGAUGCCAGUCGAGCCCCGUCCCCCCCUCCCUCCCCCCCCGUCACGUGAUGCCUGGCCCCGCCCACCGCCCAGUUCAUCCCAGUACAGCCCAGUGCCGGCUCGGCCCAUUCAGUCCCCAUUGAUUCCAGCCCUUUUUGUGCCCCUCGUUUCCAUCCCAGUCCAAUCCCAGUAUAACCCAGUUUGAGCCCCUUGAUUCCCCGUUCAUCCCAGUGCAUCCCAGUUCUCCCUCAGUAUGACCAUUGCCUCCCACAAGUCUCCCAGUCCAUUCCAGUCCCAUUUCAUUCCAUCCUAAUCUCCUCCCAGUACAUCCCAGUCCCUCCCGGUCCCAUCCAGUUUCCUCUCAGUCCAAUUCUGGUCCUUCCCAGUGCAAUCUCAUCCUCUCCCAGUCCCUCCCAGUCCCGUUUCACUCCGUCCCAGUCCAUCCCAGUCCAACUCCAGUCUUCCUCAUUCCACCCCAGUCCCAUCCCUUCCCAGUCUCUCCCAGUUCCAUCCCAGUCCUUCCCAGCUCCUUCCCAUCCUCUCCAAUUCCAUCCCAGUCCCCUCCCAUCCCCUCCCAGUCCAUCCCAGUGCUCCCAGUUGUAACCACUCUCCCUUUGCAGCGCUUCCAUAUCUCCGGAUGAGGAGAAGAGCGCGGCGGCGGUGGCCGCGGUCUGCGCCUACCUGAGGCUGCUGGGGGUGAAGCCGAAGGGCGGCGGCGACGCCAAGAAACCCAAGGGUCACUUCUUCCGCAAGAAGCUGCCGGGGGGGAGGAAGGCGGAGGAGGCGAAGCCCAGAAGGGGGUUUUCGUUGGCGGGGGCCGCGCUGUGGGGCAGAGAUGGUGAGAAACCCCAUAGCGACCCAUAGCGACCCAUAGCGACCCCGUUAUAACCCCA